GCUCUCUGGGUGGGAGUGAGGGACCCCAGCUGUGGCACCUGCUGGUUUCCAUGGUGUAAAUACUGCCACCAGGGUCAAUUACAAGCUAUGCACGUGACAUCACUGAGUGGGGAGUUGGGAGGAACCCUGAAUAACCGGCUUGCCUGAGGAGGUGCCACGGCUGUGGCACCACCCUGAGCCUGGGGCUCCUGUUCAGUGAUAAUAGCUAUUGGCAAAUUCAACCUUUGUUGAAAACAGACAUCAUCGAGUUCUAGAAUUCACUGCCUCUUGCUCGAUGGCCUGCCUUUUAGUCCUCCCGCUUUUUGAAGCAGCUCUGUAAAUGUCACUGCUGGGGACCCCAGACACUUUGACUUAAUGAAGAUUGAUGUCUUCAUUAGAUUUGGAAAAGGAAUGCUGGGACAUUUUAUUACCUGGUGGCUGGUGCCUAGUACUCUCUGUUCCGUGGCCCAUCUCCCCCACCUCCUGUGACACAUUCCUGAAAGGGCUCCAGGAAAAAAAUAUUACAGCCUUGGCAGAUCAGUGUUUUCUGAUUGUGCAAUGUUCUUCCUGAGAAACCCCAUUCUCCAAAGGCAGUCAUUCUGAACCAGGACCAAGAAGUCGGGGUACAGGCUGGCCACCGGGAGGACAGCACAGGGGGCCAGAUGGUGGAGAACCAGGACAGAACAAAUCUAUGGGAGGCGGCAUCCAGCUCUGGUCCUCUCUGUUGCCACAGCCCAAGCGCAUGAUGCGCCAUUAUGUACAGGUCUCUGCUGCCUGCGGCUCCCCUUUGCUUCUCACCCUAUGACUCAUGAGAUCACUGUGCCUCGUGUGCUAGGAGUUGGAUCUUAAAGCACCAAGGGGAGCUGCUGGUGUGCUGGUGAAGGAGACAUGCCAAAGUGACUGUAAGAGAAGACCAGCUACAUUAGUGAGCCAGAUGCUGUGCUGGGAACCUAAGGCAACCAGGACCACGAGAGAGCAUCUCUGUCCUCAAAUUUCACACCACAAUCUGGGGCUCUGUCAGCGGAAGAUACCCUGGUGACCUGAACAGCGAUGUGGGAGUUUCCUCCCCUCCAAAGACCUCGCUGGGAGAGACGAGUCCUUUUUCACUGUGUCUCUCUGGUAUUCCUUGCUUCUUGUCUCCCAUUCUCCUCCAUCACCUCCCUGAGUGCUUCCACUGCGACCUGAGGCUCGUCAAGGAGUUCUGCAGCCUGUGGGACUUUUAGGGAACAAACUCCCAGCGGUGGGCUUCGUGAUGCAGCCACCACCUUCCUCGCAAGGUGCACCUGUUCGCCAAGCUCGCUGUCCGAGCGUUCUGUUGUGUUCAACCCUGACUUUGGCCCUGGCCCCUAAUCCCCAGGGCCUCUUGGCUGGUUUCCCUCGAAGGAAAGGUUGUUCUUUCAGCUCUUGUGUUCAGAAAAGAAACCAGAGUGCUUUCUUCCUGCAGUUCUGUCUCAGAUCCUGAUUGAAACUGUUUUACAGUCCCCUGAAUCCUGACAAGGAAAAACAUCCAUUACCCACUACUCACAGAAAUCUCUCUGAAACAAGAGUCAACCUCCCUUUCUCUCUCUCUCUCUCCUCUCCCACCCCACUCUCCCCUCUUUCUGUCUCCUUCUCUUUCACUCUCCAUCUGUCUCUUCCCUCCUGACCUGCUCCCCCCACCAUGAGCAAAAACUCCCUUGGCCGUCCCACACUUCAACUUUCAAAACUUUUACAACGAUCAUUCCCAAGUUUCCUAAUCUCUCAGCCUUUUCUGUGCAAUCCCAGAUUUGUAUCUUUCCAAAAGUGUAACUAAUAUUUAUUGAGAAACUAAUAUAUGCCAGAUGCUUUCUAUAUAUAUGAACUCCUUGAAAAACUUAUGGGAAGUAAAUGUAAUUAAAUUCCUUUUUUUAAUGAGAAAAUUGAGAGUCAAAAGUAUAAAGUAAUUUGCCCAAUAUCAUCAGCUAGAGUGUAACAGAGAUUUCAGAUCAGGUCUGCCUCAAAAACCUAUGCAUUUCCUUUUGUAUCUUAAAACUUUUUGCUGAUUACAAAAUGUUUAUGUAGAAAAAUUCAAAUACAGAAAGAAAAAGAUGCACGCUCCUAUAUUCUUAUAUCCUAACUCACUGUUAAUGUUUUAUGAUUGUUGCCCUGCCUUUAUCUUAUACAGUUUAAAUACAUAUUUAUAAAAUUGGCACAUAUAUAUGCACGUGUAUGUUUUUUUCCAGCUUAACUGAGAUAUAAUUGACAUAUAACAUUGUGUAAAGUUAAGGGGUAGAAUGUGAUGAUUUGAUAUACAUACAUAUUGUGAAAUGAUUACCACAAUAAGGUUAGUUAACACAUCUAUCACCUCACAUAAUUGCCUUUUUUGUGGUGAAAAUGUUUGAUCUCUACUUUCCCUGCAACUUUCAAGUGUACAAUAUAGUGUUAACCAUAAUCAUGCUGUGCAUUAGAUCCGCAGAACUUAGUCGUCCUAAAACUGAAAGUUUGUACCCUUUGAUCAGUAUCUCCCCAUUUAUCCCAACCCCCAGGCCCUGGUAACCACCAUUCUAGUCUCUGUU